rnacentral:rRNA from 1 species
GACGAACGCUGGCGGCGUGCUUAACACAUGCAAGUCGAACGGAAAGGCCCUGCUUUUGUGGGGUGCUCGAGUGGCGAACGGGUGAGUAACACGUGAGUAACCUGCCCUUGACUUUGGGAUAACUUCAGGAAACUGGGGCUAAUACCGGAUAGGAGCUCCUGCUGCAUGGUGGUGGUUGGAAAGAUUCGGCGGUUGGGGAUGGACUCGCGGCUUAUCAGCUUGUUGGUGGGGUAGUGGCUUACCAAGGCUUUGACGGGUAGCCGGCCUGAGAGGGUGACCGGCGACAUUGGGACUGAGAUACGGCCCAGACUCCUACGGGAGGCAGCAGUGGGGAAUAUUGCACAAUGGGCGGAAGCCUGAUGCAGCAACGCCGCGUGCGGGAUGACGGCCUUCGGGUUGUAAACCUCUUUCGCCUGUGACGAAGCGUGAGUGACGGUAAUGGGUAAAGAAGCACCGGCUAACUACGUG